AGAGUUUGAUCAUGGCUCAGAUUGAACGCUGGCGGCAGGCCUAACACAUGCAAGUCGAACGGUAACAGGAA
rnacentral:rRNA from 1 species